rnacentral:lncRNA from 1 species
GUGGGAGAGUCAGGCUUAUUCUCCAUGGGACAGAGCGAGGAAAAGAAGAAGAGUGUGUCUGUGUGUGUGUGUGCUACUAGAGAGUCUUCCCACAAUAAGUGAGAGGAGGAGACAAAGAUAGGUAGACAGAAAAGGAAGGGAAAAAUGUAAUGGAGGAAGGCAUGAAGGUGAGAGCUGAACAUCUGUUUGAUAAUCAGAGUCUCCCCUCAGUGCAGUCUAACACACACUGACACCUAUUUGAUAAUUGGUGAGCCUGCCCUCUCCCUCAGCGCCGGGCUAAACGGUUGCUUGAUACCGGGGAGAGCAAAGGGACUAGCUGUUGGCAGUGCAAUCUGUUUACUCAGUGCAGCUCAGGUAAAGAUGCAUAGCCGGCUGCCUGCGUGUCUGUGUUUGUGUGUGUGUCUGUGCAUGUGUACGCUAGCUAUUGCAUAAAGCCUACAAUCUGGUUAUUAGUCUCACAUCGUGAACAAGACGUGACUUUAAGCAUGCGUGAAAUGUUGUAGUAGUACCUUUUGCUGCUGCUGCUGCAGUGUUACUCAAGGAUAAAUAUGUGUUUUGUCUUUCUUAUCCCAGAUGCUGUCCUGAAAGAUUUGCCUCCGCACAGACCUCCUCCUUCCUUCUCUUCACAUUGCGAUCACAUUCAGAGAGCUGAAGGAUGCGCACAGAGAAGGAGUGGAGUAAAGAAAGAAAAAAAGGAGGGAGAAAGUAAUGGAAGUGGGGGGUGGAGGCCUCUUUGCUCCGGUCUCGACAACGGGUAUUCUUGGGUUGAUAAUACAGAUGUGGAUGUUAUUGCUUGAGAAUACGCGUAGUCGAGAGGAAGCUUUGUCAUCUACAAGGGUCCAAAAAGCAGAGAUCUUUUUGGAGGAAUACAAUGGCAGACACACACGAAACAUGGGAUGGUUUUUAAUUAGGCACCUAUGAGCGACUUUUUGUGGGAAAGGGUUUAUUUUGUUCUAUCAGGAAGGUUUUUCAAAUAGAACGCAAUCAGAGGCCGGUCAAAUCAAAUCCAGCCACUGAAAAGGUUUUAUCAUCAUAGCUUUAUCAACCAUGUCACUCUUCACACCUGUGGAGGAAAUGAGUUUGUUUCGCCGUCCGAAUUCAGUCCGUCCUGUGAAAGCGCUGGCAGCAAGUGGGGGGAAGACUAGCACCGUGCCACUAAGCUAAACCCCCCAGGCAUUAGUUCAGGGAGCUUAACACAAAAGUCUUCAGACUCAGACCUUAAUUCCCAAACCUUCUUGAUUACAUAUCCUUGUCAGUCAGUCGAGCACACAAGUGAGCCUAUAAUCUUAUCAGUUGAUGAAGGUCUUUCGCAGCCCUUCACACUCUGCACCAAACAUGUCUCUCAGACGAGACUGGUUUUAAAGUUUGCAAAAUUGGUGCCAAAAACAGCUUUUUUUUUUAGAUAUCGGGGACAGGAACCCUUGCUGUGCCACAGGAUAGUAUAGCUGUGCAUAGCCAUCAUCCUGCUCCCGCUCCUGCCUCUACUCUUCUAUUUUUUUUUGUCUUCCUGGCUCAUGCUAAAAAUGUGCGAAGAGUUUGAUGCCUGUAGCAGCAACAGGAGACAGUAACACAUGAGGACAUGUCAAGGCUUGCACCCGUUGCUGACGUUUCAGCUUUCGGCUCAACUGACUGGCUGUCAUGAUGGAGAGGAGACUCACACACACACACACACAGAUGCACACACGGGCAGACAUGUAUAUAAACUGCAGCAGGGUUCACAUGAUCAACAUGCCUGUAGGGAAAUAAGGGAUUGAUAGGUCUAAAGAAAACCAGCGUUCGAUUCCUUACAUAUAUUUGAAUGCACAAACAUCGCCACAUUGCAGCAAGGUUCACCGAGUCCAUGUGCCAGUGGGGAAAUAAGGGAUUGAUUGAUUUUAUGGGUAACUAUUUUUAGUCAGAAUGAUGGAUGUUUAUGUCUUUUAUUGAUCAAGUCGAGGUGCAGGUCUGAAGAAUUCUUAAAGUCAGGGCAUGCUGAUUUAUCAGGGAGCUGUGAAGUUGGAAUAAAACAUCCAGAAAUACAUUUUUGGUACAUUAGCAUUAUUGCUAAGUACUAUAAAUUAAAAACUCUGCGCUUCAUUGCAAAUUCAGCAGUAUAUUAGCAUCUGUUUGUGAAUGCGCCUGUGAUAAAUUACUCUCUUAUCGUUUACUACUCCAUGAUUUCUUACUCCUGUGUAAGCAAAUCUCUUAUUUAUUAGCACAGAAAGUAAUCAUAAUUUAUACACAUUUCACACUGACGUUGUGUAAACUUGUUGAUUUGGCAAAGCUGUUUCUGUGGUUUUUGUGCGUAUUUGUGCAUGCGUGUGUGUGUGUAUGUGUGUGUUCUAAGCAACAAAAUGACUAUUGUGAGCACAGCUCCAGGUGCCUAGCAACCGAAUUGCUCUGUUUCCUUGGCAACAGUUGCCUUGCACUCACUGUGUGGGUGAUUGGCAGCCUUGACAACGGAGACGGAGUGACACUUGACCUCACGUGCUGAAUGGGAGAGGAGAAAGGAGUGAGAGAUAGAAGAGAGAGGGGGAGGCAGUGGGAGGGGACGAGCGCAGACAGAUGAGAGACUAAGUGAUAAUCAUUCUCCAUUGUAAUCAUCCUCCAGCAUGUUUCAUAAGGCAGUGGCAAUACCUCUCCAGCUGGGGUCCAUCAUCAAACACACUGCACAGUUAGGCACGCGCAUGCACGACACACUCCUUCUUGGGUGGAGAGCCCAGGCAGGCACUCCAUAUCUCAUCUACUAUCACUCAGCUCUGCCUGGUGCACAGCCUCACUACGCUGUGUCUGCUUUCAUUUGUGAUCUGCUGCAUCCUGCGCUCAGCGGGCAUGAAUGGAUCCUGGACUCCUGAAAAUGUGUCACGGUCACAGAUGCCACAGGAGGGUAGAUCAGAAGGCACGCACAGAGACAUUGUUCUUUGAAAACCAGCACUUCCACUGCUGUUUGGCACCUUUGAAUAAAAGUGGUGUAAUUAUUAAAAUGUGUUUUUGGUGGUUUUCCAUCCAUUCACUGGCUUAGGGGAUCCCAUUGUGUCAGGUUUAACAAAAAACAUGUUUUUCAUGGCUGGCUUCACCUGCAGAAAUGACAAAAAAAAGGAACAGUAGAAAUGUUCAAACUGUAAUAAAAAAAAAAAAAUGUAUUUUGAGUCUUUGAUUUUUCAAGUUACGUUUUAGUUUAAAAAAAACAGAAAUGUGAAUUUUUUUAAGGCUCUUUGAUACAAAUUACAAUACAAAUUUUCCUUUACCUUUAUCUUAAGUGCAACUAUGAUGUUUACUGUUGUUCAACCAGAAUCCCUUUAUGCUUGAAUCAUCUCUUUAACCCUCCUCCUGUGUUAGGGUCUGUACCGACCCGUUUUUGUUUUUAAAUGCUUAAAAGAACCACGUAAAUUAGAUUUUUAAAUUGACUAAAUUCUAAAAUGCUCUUAUUAAGAUUAUGGCCCUUGUCGUGUUGAGGUCGCUGUUGACCCGGUUAGAUCAAUAUCUAAUAAUUAGAGCAAAAACUGAAAUCAUAAGUGCACUGUCAGGCACCACACUGACAGUCAGAUCCUCUUCCAAUCAUGUAAGAUUUAGGAAAUUCUCAUUUUGCCUGUUUUUCCCUUCACGAGAAACUACGUUGGGCAUGUCCAGACAUGUGAGAUCAAUUCAGUAUAGAUGUCUGUAUGAGGGGUGAACCGACAAAGAAAGGCCCAGAGGACCACACCAAAAAAUAUUGUAAGCAAUAUUCUCAUGGAUAAUGAAGCCUAACAAGUUAACCUAGAGACGAGAACUAAAUUGGGUGAUAGAGAAUUGUUUUUAGUGUAAUUUACAGCUGAUUUAAGAUAUGGGUCAAAACCGACCCUUGACAUGGUGGUUGUGUAGUAAAAGCUAACAGGCGAGGAAGGAUAAUCAAUAAAUUAAUAACUCCUUCCAGAAAUAAUGCCAAUUCGCAACAAAUGUAAUUGCAAGAUGCUUUGCAAAAAAACUGGUCUUAGUCAUACUCUUCACAAUAUUUACAAAGACCUUAACAUCAAGAUAAAAUGAGAUCAAAUCCCAUCUUGUAAUAUCAGACCCACUCUGAUCACAUCUCUACCUACCAUGAGUAUCAAAGCAUCCUUUUAAGGGCAGAAACCUUCAGCAGAACCAGAUUCAUGUGAGACAGUCACCUGCUGAGAGUGCUGUGAGUUUAGAGGGGGAUGCAAAGAGAGAGAGAGAUGGGUAGAGGUUUACAUUAACAACAGUAGUGCAUGCAGAUAAAUCAUUACUGUGCCUGAGAUAAUGAGCACAGUAGUAUGCUCGCUUGGUUGAUGGCAAGUUUAAGUCAUCAGGUCAAUAGUAAUAGCAUAGCAGUAAUUACAUUUGAAACUAUGAUGUUGAGGUAAAUAAUGGGGGUUGGAGGAUGAUUGAAGGAGGAG